UAUGUCCAUUAUGCGGGGUAGAGGCUGGAGACUGCUACUAACCUAUGAGCGGCUCCCCAGAGGUAUGGCCCUGGUUCUUAUUGGCAUUUUCGCCAUGUAAGUCUCCACUGUAACCACUACUGCAAUCCCCUUGUUUUUACCCAUAGAUGCUAACCAACCUGUUUUCCACAGUCAUAUGGUUUGCAAUAUCUAUCUUUACACAUACCGUUUACCCACUGUAUGUUUAUUUACCAUUGCAAUUGGUUACCCCCUACCUCCAUCAUGCCUCUACCCACGCAGUACUAUUUAUUAUCAUUUGUUUUGGCAAUCCAUCCCCAUUUAUCGAAGAUCCUCGCAUAUUCCCCCCAGUCCACCGCACAGGGUAUAUUGCUCCGGCGGGUUGGUGCCACGCAUGACCACCAUAUAUGGCGGAAUGAUUCUCCUGAAGAAGUGGUCAAACCACGAAACUAGUCGAGACUCAGAUCAUUCCAUAUGGUUGUAAAUUACAGAAAUUGCCUCGAGUUAUCUUAGGCCUCUGUUUUUUCAAUUUUAAUCAUGUAUUUAUUGUACAAUCCUUUAUGUAAUAAAUUUCUUUUUAAAUUAUA